GAUGAACGCUGGCGGCGUGCCUAACACAUGCAAGUCGAGCGGCAGCGAGGGGUGCUUGCACCCUGUCGGCGAGCGGCGGACGGCUGAGUAACGCGUGGGAACGUGCCCCAAAGUGAGGAAUAACUGCCCGAAAGGGUAGCUAAUACCGCAUAUUAUCUUCGGAUCAAAGGAUUUAUCCGCUUUGGGAGCGGCUCGCGUCGGAUUAGGUAGUUGGUGAGGUAAUGGCUCACCAAGCCGACGAUCCGUAGCUGGUCUGAGGGGAUGACCAGCCAGACUGGAACUGAGACACGGUCCAGACUCCUACGGGAGGCAGCAGUGAGGAAUCUUCCACAAUGGGCGAAAGCCUGAUGGAGCAACGCCGCGUGCAGGACGAAGGCCUUCGGGUUGUAAACUGCUUUUAUAAGUGAGGAAUAUGACGGUAACUUAUGAAUAAGAAUCGGCUAACUACGUG
rnacentral:rRNA from 1 species